ACCCCCGCUAUUGUUGCUCUAUUGGGUUGCGAUCGAGCUUAGCCUCGUUCAUUUUUUUAUACAAUAACCCGUUAAAAAUAGAAGACAGGCCGCUCACGCUGGCGAUCAAGACUGAAUAGAAACACGAUAAAACGCCCUAAAUAGCGGCAAAAAAGGCCAUCUGGCGCAGUUUUAGGGCAA
rnacentral:sRNA from 22 species